rnacentral:misc_RNA from 1 species
GUGCAUGAGCACGCGCCACGACGUCCUGCGGCCACAGACGCGCAUCCGGAAACCGCUCGGCGGCGUAUUCGAUGAUCGCCAGCGAAUCCCAGACCGUGAUGUCGCCGUCGACCAGCGCNUGCCCGACCGGGUGACAUCCAGAAUGCGCUGCUUGUCCGCAUCACCGGUGUAGAGCGGAAUGACGAUCUCGUCGAAGGUGAUUCCCGUCCCUUUCAGGGCCAUCCACGGCCGCAUCGACCAUGAGGAAUAGUUCUUGUUCCCGAUAACGAGCGUCAAAGCCAUCGAUUGAGUUCUCCCUGCAAAGUCGACCUUGC